rnacentral:rRNA from 1 species
GACGAACGCUGGCGGCGUGCCUAAUACAUGCAAGUAGAACGCUAAAGAGAGGAGCUUGCUCUUCUUGGAUGAGUUGCGAACGGGUGAGUAACGCGUAGGUAACCUGCCUUGUAGCGGGGGAUAACUAUUGGAAACGAUAGCUAAUACCGCAUAACAAUGGAUGACACAUGUCAUUUAUUUGAAAGGGGCAAUUGCUCCACUACAAGAUGGACCUGCGUUGUAUUAGCUAGUAGGUGAGGUAAUGGCUCACCUAGGCGACGAUACAUAGCCGACCUGAGAGGGUGAUCGGCCACACUGGGACUGAGACACGGCCCAGACGCCUACGGGAGGCAGCAGUAGGGAAUCUUCGGCAAUGGGGGCAACCCUGACCGAGCAACGCCGCGUGAGUGAAGAAGGUUUUCGGAUCGUAAAGCUCUGUUGUAAGUCAAGAACGGGUGUGAGAGUGGAAAGUUCACACUGUGACGGUAGCUUACCAGAAAGGGACGGCUAACUACGUG